rnacentral:rRNA from 1 species
UACGUAGGGUCCGAGCGUUAAUCGGAAUUACUGGGCGUAAAGCGUGCGCAGGCGGUUCGCAAAGACAGGUGUGAAAUCCCCGGGCUUAACCUGGGAACUGCGUGUGAUACUGGAUGGCUUGAAUUCGGGAGAGGGAUGCAGAAUUCCAGGUGUAGCGGUGAAAUGCGUAGAUAUCUGGAGGAAUACCGGUGGCGAAGGCGGCAUCCUGGACCGACAUUGACGCUGAACGGCGAAAGCUAGGGGAGCAAACGGG